rnacentral:misc_RNA from 1 species
UGUAAUCAUGAUUACUUUUUUUGAUUUUUUAAUUUAUUGUGAAUGCUAUCACCACUAUUACUAUUCGGCCACUACUGCUCCUACACCACAACCAUUACCACCAUCAUCUUGUUACCACUAUCGCUAUUACUAUCACCUGACUAUCGUUAUCACUAUUUAGCUAUUGUUAUUUCUACCACCACUUGAUCACCAACAUCACUAUUGCCUCACCUUGCUACCACCACUACUAUCUAAUUACUACUGUCACCACAACUGCCACCAUCGCCGCUACCACCACUGCCACUUAGCCACCGCUAUCACUCAACUAUUAAUCACUAUAAUCAUUACUACUUAUUAUUAACAUUAUAAAUAA